rnacentral:tRNA from 1 species
GGGUUCGGCACUCGGCGCGGUUGGCGGGUUUGUCGCGGUUGCCGGCGCGGCGGCCUGCGGGUUGUCGGCUGGCUGGUUCGACCCGGCCGUGGCUGC